rnacentral:rRNA from 1 species
UGAACGCUGGCGGCGUGCCUAAUACAUGCAAGUCGAGCGAACAGACGAGGAGCUUGCUCCUCUGACGUUAGCGGCGGACGGGUGAGUAACACGUGGAUAACCUACCUAUAAGACUGGGAUAACUUCGGGAAACCGGAGCUAAUACCGGAUAAUAUAUUGAACCGCAUGGUUCAAUAGUGAAAGACGGUUUUGCUGUCACUUAUAGAUGGAUCCGCGCCGCAUUAGCUAGUUGGUAAGGUAACGGCUUACCAAGGCAACGAUGCGUAGCCGACCUGAGAGGGUGAUCGGCCACACUGGAACUGAGACACGGUCCAGACUCCUACGGGAGGCAGCAGUAGGGAAUCUUCCGCAAUGGGCGAAAGCCUGACGGAGCAACGCCGCGUGAGUGAUGAAGGUCUUCGGAUCGUAAAACUCUGUUAUUAGGGAAGAACAAAUGUGUAAGUAACUAUGCACGUCUUGACGGUACCUAAUCAGAAAGUCACGGCUAACUACGUG